GUGACUUUUCCAUGUUGCCAUUAACUUUACAUGGCUGAAAUAAACAGGCUGUUGACAAGUUAGUAUCAACAGCACAUUAUCAGAGAAAGAAAAGGCUGUAUUUAGACAAUUUACAUUAUUAUUGUAAUUUAUUAGCUUCCUGUGACUCACUAAACCAACCUGAAAAAAAUAGCUUUCUAAGGUAUAAAUGAAUUUCUAUGUUUUACCCAACGUACUUUCUGGUAAACAGCACCCAUACAUUUUAUGAAAUAUUUUAGUCUUUAGAGAAUAAGGCAAAAACAGCUCCAGGAGUCUAGAGCUGACAUCCCCUCACCACAAGGCCAAGUCUUUUUUUUUUUUUUUUUUGAGACGGAGUUUUGCUCCUGUUGCCCAGGCUAGAGUGCAAUGGCACAAUCUUGGCUCACUGCAACCUCUGCCCCCCAGAUUCAAGCGAUUCUCCUGUGCCAGCCUCCCAACUAGCUAGGAUUACAGAAGCAGGCCACCACGCCUGGCCAAUUUUUGUAGUUUUAGUAGAGACAGGGGUUUCAUCAUAUUGAUCAGGCCAGUCUUGAACUCCUGACCUCAGGUGAUUCACCUGCUUUGGUUUCUAUCCAGUGUGAGUCCUACCAUGUUUUCGAAGGUGUGAGGUAGAUCUGAAGGUUUUUCCACAUUGCUUACACUCAUAGGGUUUCUCUCCAGUGUGAGUCCUUUCAUGUUAUCGAAAAGAAGUGAAAGAAAUAAAGGCUUUCCCACAUUGCUUACACUCAUAGGGUUUCUCUCCAGUGUAAGAUUUUUCAGGUAUUUGAAAUGACUUGGCAGAAUAAAAGCCUUUCCCACAUAUCUUACAUUUAUAAGGUCUUUCUACAGAGUGCAUUCUUACGUGUGUUUGUGUCCUUUCAUGAAUUCGAAGGUUCUUGGCAGAUCUGAAGGCUUUCCCACAUAUCUUACAUUUAUAAGGUCU
rnacentral:lncRNA from 10 species